GACGAACGCUGGCGGCGUGCUUAACACAUGCAAGUCGAACGGAAAGGCCCUGCUUUUGUGGGGUGCUCGAGUGGCGAACGGGUGAGUAACACGUGAGUAACCUGCCCUUGACUUUGGGAUAACUUCAGGAAACUGGGGCUAAUACCGGAUAGGAGCUCCUGCUGCAUGGUGGGGGUUGGAAAGUUUCGGCGGUUGGGGAUGGACUCGCGGCUUAUCAGCUUGUUGGUGGGGUAGUGGCUUACCAAGGCUUUGACGGGUAGCCGGCCUGAGAGGGUGACCGGCCAGAUGGGGACUGAGAUACGGACCAGAGUCCUACGGGAGGCAGCAGUGGGGAAUAGUGCACAAUGGGCGGAAGCCUGAUGCAGCAACGCCGCGGGCGGGAUGACGGCCUUCGGGUUGUAAACCGCUUUCGCCUGUGACGAAGCGUGAGUGACGGUAAUGGGUAAAGAAGCACCGGCUAACUACGUG
rnacentral:rRNA from 1 species